GGCCUAACACAUGCAAGUCGAACGCGCGUAGCAAUACGCGAGUGGCGCACGGGUGAGUAACACGUGGGAAUCAACCCUGAGGUUCGGAAUAACCGCGGGAAACUGCGGCUAAUACCGGAUGUCCCCUACGGGGGAAAGAUUUAUCGCCUUGGGACGAGCCCGCGUCCGAUUAGCUAGUUGGUGAGGUAAUGGCUCACCAAGGCUACGAUCGGUAGCUGGUCUGAGAGGAUGACCAGCCACACUGGAACUGAGAUACGGUCCAGACUCCUACGGGAGGCAGCAGUGGGGAAUAUUGGGCAAUGGAGGCAACUCUGACCCAGCCAUGCCGCGUGGGUGCUACGUCUUCGGAUUGUAAAGCCC
rnacentral:rRNA from 1 species